rnacentral:rRNA from 1 species
AGAGUUUGAUCAUGGCUCAGGAUGAACGCUAGCGGCAGGCUUAACACAUGCAAGUCGAGGGGUAACGGGAGUGCUUGCACUCGCCGACGACCGGCGCACGGGUGCGUAACGCGUAUACAAUCUACCCUUUACUGGGGAAUAGCCCAGAGAAAUUUGGAUUAAUGCCCCAUAGUACAUAUAUAUGGCAUCAUAUUUAUGUUAAAGGCUACGGUAAAGGAUGAGUAUGCGUACCAUUAGUUAGUUGGUAAGGUAACGGCUUACCAAGACUGCGAUGGUUAGGGGCCCUGAGAGGGGGAUCCCCCACACUGGUACUGAGACACGGACCAGACUCCUACGGGAGGCAGCAGUGAGGAAUAUUGGACAAUGGGCGAGAGCCUGAUCCAGCCAUGCCGCGUGUAGGAAGACUGCCCUAUGGGUUGUAAACUACUUUUACAUGGGAAGAAUAAGGGUCACGUGUGGCCUUAUGACGGUACCAUGAGAAUAAGGACCGGCUAACUCCGUGCCAGCAGCCGCGGUAAUACGGAGGGUCCGAGCGUUAUCCGGAAUUAUUGGGUUUAAAGGGUCCGUAGGCGGGCCGUUAAGUCAGGGGUGAAAGUUUGUGGCCCAACCAUAAAAUUGCCUUUGAUACUGACGGUCUUGAGUUAUAGUGAAGUUGCCGGAAUAUGUAGUGUAGCGGUGAAAUGCAUAGAUAUUACAUAGAACACCGAUUGCGAAGGCAGGUGACUAACUAUAUACUGACGCUGAUGGACGAAAGCGUGGGGAGCGAACAGGAUUAGAUACCCUGGUAGUCCACGCCGUAAACGAUGGAUACUAGCUGUUCGGUCUUCGGACUGAGCGGCCAAGCGAAAGUGAUAAGUAUCCCACCUGGGGAGUACGUUCGCAAGAAUGAAACUCAAAGGAAUUGACGGGGGCCCGCACAAGCGGUGGAGCAUGUGGUUUAAUUCGAUAAUACGCGAGGAACCUUACCUGGGCUCGACAAUUUAUGUGCAGUCUGUAUCAAGCUUUAGAGAUAGAGUUUUCUUCGGACGGAUCACAAGGUGCUGCAUGGUUGUCGUCAGCUCGUGCCGUGAGGUGUCAGGUUAAGUCCUAUAACGAGCGCAACCCCUGUUGUUAGUUGCCAGCACAUAAUGGUGGGGACUCUAACAAGACUGCCGGUGCAAACCGUGAGGAAGGUGGGGAUGACGUCAAAUCAUCACGGCCCUUACGUCCUGGGCUACACACGUGCUACAAUGGCCGGUACAGCGGGCAGCCACUGCGCAAGCAGGAGCGAAUCCACAAAACCGGUCACAGUUCGGAUCGGGGUCUGCAACUCGACCCCGUGAAGCUGGAAUCGCUAGUAAUCGGAUAUCAGCCAUGAUCCGGUGAAUACGUUCCCGGGCCUUGUACACACCGCCCGUCAAGCCAUGGAAGCCGGGAGUGCCUGAAGUCCGUCACCGUAAGGAGCGGCCUAGGGCAAAAUUGGUAACUAGGGCUAAGUCGUAACAAGGUAAC